rnacentral:rRNA from 1 species
UACGGGGGGGGCAAGCGUUGUUCGGAAUUACUGGGCGUAAAGGGCUCGUAGGCGGCCGACUAAGUCGGACGUGAAAUCCCUCGGCUUAACCGGGGAAUGGCGUCCGAUACUGGUCGGCUCGAGUGUGGGAGAGGGAUGCGGAAUUCCAGGUGUAGCGGUGAAAUGCGUAGAUAUCUGGAGGAACACCGGUGGCGAAGGCGGCCAUCCUGGACUACUACUGACGCUGAGGAGCGAAAGCCAGGGGAGCAAACGGG